GGCUACAUCACACUGAAAAACCAGUUCUCAUACGAUCACUGAAGUUAAGCAACAUUGAGACCGGUAAGUACCUAGAUGGGUAACCACUUAAGAAUACCAGAUGCUGUAAG